rnacentral:ncRNA from 1 species
AUAUAGAAACGGCAAACUACUCGAAAGGGUAGGACGCAAAGCUAAAGGGGCUAAAUCUAUUGUUCAAAUAGACAUGCCAGCCAGUUGCCCUU